UAGCGGCCGCGAAUUGCCCUUAGAGUUUGAUCCUGGCUCAGAUUGAACGCUGGCGGCAGGCUUAACACAUGCAAGUCGAGCGGGGGAAGGUAGCUUGCUACUGGACCUAGCGGCGGACGGGUGAGUAAUGCUUAGGAAUCUGCCUAUUAGUGGGGGACAACAUCUCGAAAGGGAUGCUAAUACCGCAUACGUCCUACGGGAGAAAGCAGGGGAUCUUCGGACCUUGCGCUAAUAGAUGAGCCUAAGUCGGAUUAGCUAGUUGGUGGGGUAAAGGCCUACCAAGGCGACGAUCUGUAGCGGGUCUGAGAGGAUGAUCCGCCACACUGGGACUGAGACACGGCCCAGACUCCUACGGGAGGCAGCAGUGGGGAAUAUUGGACAAUGGGGGGAACCCUGAUCCAGCCAUGCCGCGUGUGUGAAGAAGGCCUUAUGGUUGUAAAGCACUUUAAGCGAGGAGGAGGCUACUCUAGUUAAUACCUAGGGAUAGUGGACGUUACUCGCAGAAUAAGCACCGGCUAACUCUGUGCCAGCAGCCGCGGUAAUACAGAGGGUGCGAGCGUUAAUCGGAUUUACUGGGCGUAAAGCGUGCGUAGGCGGCUUAUUAAGUCGGAUGUGAAAUCCCCGAGCUUAACUUGGGAAUUGCAUUCGAUACUGGUGAGCUAGAGUAUGGGAGAGGAUGGUAGAAUUCCAGGUGUAGCGGUGAAAUGCGUAGAGAUCUGGAGGAAUACCGAUGGCGAAGGCAGCCAUCUGGCCUAAUACUGACGCUGAGGUACGAAAGCAUGGGGAGCAAACAGGAUUAGAUACCCUGGUAGUCCAUGCCGUAAACGAUGUCUACUAGCCGUUGGGGCCUUUGAGGCUUUAGUGGCGCAGCUAACGCGAUAAGUAGACCGCCUGGGGAGUACGGUCGCAAGACUAAAACUCAAAUGAAUUGACGGGGGCCCGCACAAGCGGUGGAGCAUGUGGUUUAAUUCGAUGCAACGCGAAGAACCUUACCUGGCCUUGACAUACUAGAAACUUUCCAGAGAUGGAUUGGUGCCUUCGGGAAUCUAGAUACAGGUGCUGCAUGGCUGUCGUCAGCUCGUGUCGUGAGAUGUUGGGUUAAGUCCCGCAACGAGCGCAACCCUUUUCCUUACUUGCCAGCAUUUCGGAUGGGAACUUUAAGGAUACUGCCAGUGACAAACUGGAGGAAGGCGGGGACGACGUCAAGUCAUCAUGGCCCUUACGGCCAGGGCUACACACGUGCUACAAUGGUCGGUACAAAGGGUUGCUACACAGCGAUGUGAUGCUAAUCUCAAAAAGCCGAUCGUAGUCCGGAUUGGAGUCUGCAACUCGACUCCAUGAAGUCGGAAUCGCUAGUAAUCGUGAAUCAGAAUGUCACGGUGAAUACGUUCCCGGGCCUUGUACACACCGCCCGUCACACCAUGGGAGUGGGUUGCUCCAGAAGUAGGUAGCCUAACCGCAAGGAGGGCGCUUACCACGGCAGGAUUCAUGACUGGGGUGAAGUCGUAACAAGGUAGCCAAGGGC
rnacentral:rRNA from 1 species